rnacentral:rRNA from 1 species
GACGAACGCUGGCGGCGUGCUUAACACAUGCAAGUCGAACGGAAAGGCCCUGCUUUUGUGGGGUGCUCGAGUGGCGAGCGGGUGUGUAACACGUGUGUAACCUGCCCUUGUCUUUGGGAUAACUUCAGGAGACUGGGGAUAAUACCGGAUAGGAGCUCCUGCUGCAUGGUGGGGGUUGGAAAGUUUCGGCGGUUGGGGAUGGACUCGCGGCUUAUGAGCUUGUUGGUGGGGUAGUGGUUUACCAGGGCUUUGACGGGUAGCCGGCCUGAGAGGGUGACCGGCCACAUUGGGACUGAGAGACGGCCCAGACGCCUACGGGAGGCAGCAGUGGGGAAUAUUGCACAAUGGGCGGAAGCCUGAUGCAGCAACGCCGCGUGCGGGAUGACGGCCUUCGGGUUGUAAACCGCUUUCGCCUGUGACGAAGCGUGAGUGACGGUAAUGGGUAAAGAAGCACCGGCUAACUACGUG